CAGCCGCCGCGGGAAAACGUAGGGUGCAAGCGUUAAUCGGAAUUACUGGGCGUAAAGCGUGCGCAGGCGGUUUGUUAAGACAGAUGUGAAAUCCCCGGGCUCAACCUGGGAACUGCAUUUGUGACUGGCAAGCUAGAGUGUGGCAGAGGGUGGUGGAAUUCCGCGUGUAGCAGUGAAAUGCGUAGAUAUGCGGAGGAACACCGAUGGCGAAGGCAGCCCCCUGGGCCAACACUGACGCUCAUGCACGAAAGCGUGGGGAGCAAACAGGAUUAGAUACCCCAGUAGUCCCUGUCUCUUAUAC
rnacentral:rRNA from 1 species